AAGUCGUAACAAGGUUUCCGUAGGUGAACCUGCGGAAGGAUCAUUACCGAGAGACGGGGUCUAACCGGCCCCAACUCUUCGCCCUUGAAUGCGUACACAUGUUGCUUUGGCGGAUAGCCACGGUUCGCCCCGCGCGAACGCCCGCCAGAGGCUCAGUAAAUCCUGCUAUCAGUGAAGUCCGAGUAAUUUCAAAUAAUUAAAAAACUUUCAACAACGGAUCUCUUGGUUCUG
rnacentral:misc_RNA from 1 species